CCCGAGAAAGUAGAGUCACAUUAUCCUAAGCCCUUCCUAAACCCAAGCAAAGGACAAAGGAUAAGGAGUUACUUUUAAGCAUUUGCGACUCCCCCAGUUCACUUCUGUAUAGUGCGGAGGUCAUCAGCAAUGGCUUCUGUAUUGUCUACUUCCUUGUAUCAAGAUAGAGGACUGAGAACUAUGGUCUCUACUGAUGGAUUUGUUCCUAGCUUUUGCUGCCCAUAUCGGAAGACAUUGUUUACAGGUACUGUCCCUGUUUCAAUAUGGCAGUUCAAACUUGUCUCCAGCAGUCCAUUCCAAAAGGCUCCUUUAGCUCCUUGUAUUAAGUGUGAGAAUAAAGAAAAGGAUCAGGGCUCUCAGGGCUCUCAGGGCUCCUUUGAGCAGGUUUCUGUUGAGCGUUACCCUUAUCACAGUUAUAUGGACUCCACUUCUGGGCAGCUUGAACCAGCUUCUGGAGCUCGCGCUAGUAUUCCUGGGCAGGAGUACUGGCCAGAAGGCACAGCUAGUCGGGUUCGAGCCGCCAGGGCUCCUGAACCCACUGGUACUUCAACUGGAACCCCAUCUUAUGGAAAAAACCCUGGAAGUAGAAGAAAGAAGUACAAGGCAUCUGCUGCCGCUUCCAAGCCUUCAGAAAUCAAUAUAAUUUCUGAUGAUUCGGCGGGGAGUCCAGAUAAUUUACCAGAAGAGCCAAAGGAUCUUUCCUCGGAGUAUGUCAUUUAUCAGCCUGAACAAGAAGAGGAGCUGACAGGCUAUGAGCUGGAUAAAAGACUCGGAAAGCCCCACCCUUUUAUUGAUCCGAAGGCAAAGAAGGAAAUAGAGAAGCCACUUACUAGUGAAGAACUAUGGUGGAAUUGGAGAAAGCCUGAAAAAGAGCAAUGGUCUAGGUGGCAGAGGAGGCGGCCUGAUGUCGAAACGGUGUUUCUUAAAGCAAUGGCGGAGACAGGACAGGUAAAGCUCUAUGGUGACCAUCCUACGUUGACAGAGACUGCACUCUACAGAGCAAGGAGACAUCUAUAUAAGGAGGAAAGGCUACAGGCUGAAAAAGAGAAAAUGGAAAAGAUUGGCCCUAUUGCCUACUACUCAGAGUGGGUCCAAGCUUGGAAGAAAGACACUUCACGAGAAGCCAUUCAAAAGCAUUUUGAAGAGACUGGUGAAGAUGAGAACACUCAACUCAUUGAAAUGUUCUGCCAUCAAACAGAUCGUGAAUACCGCAUAAUGAUGGGAACUGAUAUCCGUAUUCCUCGCGAUCCAUUGGCCAUGAGAAUGCGGGAGGAUCAAAUAAAACAAAUUUGGGGUGGAGAUCCAGUUUACCCAACCAUUAAUUACAUUCAGGAUCCAGAUGAAGUGAUUGAUUACAGGGGUCCAGACUUCCAUGAACCAACACCAAAUAUGUUGGCCUAUCUGAAAGAGCAUGGCAAAAUAAUAUCAAGAGAGGAGCUAGAGAAAAUUCUGGCCAAAGAGAAGACAGAAGAAAUUGAGGUGGCGGAAAUUGAUGAAGCCAUGGCACGAGCUGUUGACAUUGGUGAAAAUGAUGACGAAGAAGAAGGAAGUGAUGCUGAAGUUGAGGAGGGGGAUGAGAAAAUUACACGAAAUUGGAGUGUUUUGAAAAGCAAUCCUGAGCUUCGCAAAUCAAAGGAAAAAACCAAAAAGAAAGACAUGUCUCUGGAAGAAGCUGUAGAUGAUUCUGAGAAUUUGACGGACUUCCUCAUGGACUUUGAUGAGGAUGAGUGACUGAUGGAUGCCAGGCUAUUAAGGAUAAGCAAAUGAUUGUAUCCCCGUCAUGAUGCCAGCAGCAUCUUGCCCUAUGAUGAAGUCGGUGAACAUAUAUUGAAUUAUUGAUAAGAUCUGGCAGUAAGGCCAACGUACGGCAAAACAGUUAUUCGUUGAUGUUGCUGUGACAGCUAAAACAGCAUUCAGUGAAGAACUUCGCCCCAGAAGAGUAGAUUUUUGAUAGAAAGCUUUGGGUAACUCUGAUUAUCCUGUGUAAAGCAAAUGACGAGGGGAGAAUGCUAGUACAGUAGCUUGUAUCCAGCGCACAAAAUGUGAAAAACUUCUACAGCUAUGAUUGGCAACGAUCUACCAGUCUUGGGAUUGACGUGAGAGUUUACAUUGCAUUAUUGCCCUCCAAUCCAAUGUUGUAUAUUUGAAAGAGGUUGAACAAGGCGUUUCUUUCAUGGUUCAUUCAAACGGACAAAAUGUAAGAGUAGAAAGAGUUAACUAGCUCUUUAGACAGAAUUCCUAAGGAAAUGUAUAUUUCAAUUUCUGUUUUCGGUUCUGUUCAACUCUUUCAUUUAAGUUAUGCACGUUCGUAUCUUCUAUAAU